UACGUAGGGUGCAAGCGUUGUCCGGAAUUAUUGGGCGUAAAGAGCUCGUAGGCGGUCAGUCGCGUCUGCUGUGAAAACUCGGGGCUUAACCCUGAGCUUGCAGUGGGUACGGGCAGACUAGAGUGCGGUAGGGGAGAGCUGGAAUUCCUGGUGUAGCGGUGAAAUGCGCAGAUAUCAGGAGGAACACCGGUGGCGAAGGCGGGUCUCUGGGCCGUAACUGACGCUGAGGAGCGAAAGCAUGGGGAGCGAACAGG
rnacentral:rRNA from 1 species